AGUGAACGCUGGCGGUAGGCCUAACACAUGCAAGUCGAACGGCAGCACAGUAAGAGCUUGCUCUUACGGGUGGCGAGUGGCGGACGGGUGAGGAAUACAUCGGAAUCUACUUUUUCGUGGGGGGUAACGUAGGGAAACUUACGCUAAUACCGCAUACGACCUACGGGUGAAAGCAGGGGAUCUUCGGACCUUGCGCGAUUGAAUGAGCCGAUGUCGGAUUAGCUAGUUGGGGGGGUAAAGGCCCACCAAGGGGACGAUCCGUAGCUGGUCUGAGAGGAUGAUCAGCCACACUGGAACUGAGACACGGUCCAGACUCCUACGGGAGGCAGCAGUGGGGAAUAUUGGACAAAGGGCGCAAGCCUGAUCCAGCCAUACCGCGUGGGUGAAGAAGGCCUUCGGGUUGUAAAGCCCUUUUGUUGGGAAAGAAAAGCAGCAGGUUAAUACCCCGCUGUUCUGACGGUACCCAAAGAAUAAGCACCGGCUAACUUCGUG
rnacentral:rRNA from 1 species